rnacentral:rRNA from 1 species
GAUGAACGCUAGCGGCAGGCCUAACACAUGCAAGUCGAGGGGCAGCGCGGGUAGCAAUACCUGGCGGCGACCGGCGCACGGGUGAGUAACGCGUAUGCAACCUGCCCGCCACAGGGGGAUAGCCCGCCGAAAGGCGGGCUAAUACCGCAUAUUCUCUGUGGAGGAAAGUGGGGGACCGCAAGGCCUCACGCUUUCGGAGCGGCCGAUGUCCGAUUAGCUAGUUGGUGGGGUAAUGGCUUACCAAGGCGACGAUCGGUAGCUGGUCUGAGAGGAUGAUCAGCCACACUGGAACUGAGACACGGUCCAGACUCCUACGGGAGGCAGCAGUAAGGAAUAUUGCUCAAUGGCCGAAAGGCUGAAGCAGCAACGCCGCGUGGAGGAUGAAAUACUUUUGUAUGUAAACUCCUGUAAGAAGGGAAAAUAUUUCGAUUUAUCGGAAUUGAUUGUACCUUCAGAGUAAGCACCGGCUAACUACGUGCCAGCAGCCGCGGU